rnacentral:misc_RNA from 1 species
AGCAGCCGCGGUAAUUCCAGCUCCAAUAGCGUAUAUUAAAGUUGUUGCAGUUAAAAGCUCGUAGUUGAAUUUCGGGAUUGGCGCAUCGGUCGUGCCUCACGGGGUAUGAACUGGUGCAGUCAAUUUCUCACCUUCUGGAGAACCGCGAUGUCCUUAAUUGGAUGCCGCGGGGAACCAGGACCUUUACUUUGAAAAAUUAGAGUGUUUAAAGCAGGCAUUUUUGCUUGAAUACAUUAGCAUGGAAUAAUAAAAUAGGACGGCAUGGUUCUAUUUUGUUGGUUUCUAGGACCACCGUAAUGAUUAAUAGGGAUAGUUGGGGGCAUUAGUAUUCAAUUGUCAGAGGUGAAAUUCUUGGAUUUAUUGAAGACUAACUACUGCGAAAGCAUUUGCCAAGGAUGUUUUCAUUAAUCAAGAACGAAAGUUAGGGAUACGAAGACGAUCAGAUACCGUCGUAGUCUUAACCAUAAACUAUGCCGACUAGGGAAUCAGACGAUGUUAAUUUUUAAUGUACUUCGUUGGC